rnacentral:rRNA from 1 species
GUGCCAGCGCGGUAAUACGAAGGGGGCUAGCGUUGCUCGGAAUCACUGGGCGUAAAGGGUGCGUAGGCGGGUCUUUUAAGUCAGGGGUGAAAUCCUGGAGCUCAACUCCAGAACUGCCUUUGAUACUGAGGAUCUUGAGUUCGGGAGAGGUGAGUGGAACUGCGAGUGUAGAGGUGAAAUUCGUAGAUAUUCGCAAGAACACCAGUGGCGAAGGCGGCUCACUGGCCCGAUACUGACGCUGAGGUGGCGAAAGCGUGGGGAGCAAACAGG